rnacentral:rRNA from 1 species
UGGGGAAUUUUGGACAAUGGGGGCAACCCUGAUCCAGCCAUUCCGCGUGAGUGAAGAAGGCCUUCGGGUUGUAAAGCUCUUUUGUCCGGGAAGAAACGGUUUCACCUAAUACGUGAGACUACUGACGGUACCGGAAGAAUAAGGACCGGCUAACUACGUGCCAGCAGCCGCGGUAAUACGUAGGGUCCAAGCGUUAAUCGGAAUUACUGGGCGUAAAGCGUGCGCAGGCGGUUGUGUAAGCCAGAUGUGAAAUCCCCGGGCUUAACCUGGGAAUGGCAUUUGGGACUGCACGGCUAGAGUACGGCAGAGGGGACUAGAAUUCCUGGUGUAGCAGUGAAAUGCGUAGAUAUCAGGAGGAAUACCGAUGGCGAAGGCAGGUCCCUGGGUCGAUACUGACGCU